rnacentral:rRNA from 1 species
GAUGAACGCUGGCGGCGUGCCUAAUACAUGCAAGUCGAGCGAACAGACGAGGAGCUUGCUCCUCUGCCGUUAGCGGCGGACGGGUGAGUAACACGUGGAUAACCUACCUAUAAGACUGGGAUAACUUCGGGACACCGGAGCUAAUACCGGAUAAUAUAUUCAACCGCAUGGUUCAAUAGUGAAAGACGGUUUUGCUGUCACUUAUAGAUGGAUCCGCGCCGCAUUAGCUAGUUGGUAAGGUAACGGCUUACCAAGGCAACGAUGCGUAGCCGACCUGAGAGGGUGAUCGGCCACACUGGAACGGAGACACGGUCCAGACUCCUACGAGAGGCAGCAGUAGGGAAUCUUCCGCAAUGGGGGAAAGCCUGACGGAGCAACGCCGCGUGAGUGAUGAAGGCCUUCGGAUCGUAAAACUCUGUUAUUAGGGAAGAACAAAUGUGUAAGUAACUAUGCACGUCGUGACGGUACCUAAUCAAAAAGCCACGGCUAACUACGUG